AAGUGGCGAACGGGUGAGUAACACGUGGGCAAUCUGCCCUGCACUCUGGGACAAGCCCUGGAAACGGGGUCUAAUACCGGAUAUUACCUUCCCCUGCAUGGGGGUUGGUGGAAAGCUCCGGCGGUGCAGGAUGAGCCCGCGGCCUAUCAGCUUGUUGGUGGGGUAAUGGCCUACCAAGGCGACGACGGGUAGCCGGCCUGAGAGGGCGACCGGCCACACUGGGACUGAGACACGGCCCAGACUCCUACGGGAGGCAGCAGUGGGGAAUAUUGCACAAUGGGCGAAAGCCUGAUGCAGCGACGCCGCGUGAGGGAUGACGGCCUUCGGGUUGUAAACCUCUUUCAGCAGGGAAGAAGCGAAAGUGACGGUACCUGCAGAAGAAGCACCGGCUAACUACGUGCCAGCAGCCGCGGUAAUACGUAGGGUGCGAGCGUUGUCCGGAAUUAUUGGGCGUAAAGAGCUCGUAGGCGGCUUGUUGCGUCGGUUGUGAAAGCCCGGGGCUUAACCCCGGGUCUGCAGUCGAUACGGGCAGGCUAGAGUUCGGUAGGGGAGAUCGGAAUUCCU
rnacentral:rRNA from 1 species